CCUAAAAACGGGCCUGACCGAAUAAGAAGUUAUCUGGCAGAUAAACUUUGAUUUUCGUAUAUUUCAUGGUUUCUGAUUACCAGGAAACUAAAAAUAUAACCUAAAAUCUUGAGGGUCUGAUUGAAUUUAUUGCAAAAGUAAAAUUUUGUUCUUUCUAAAAAUUCUCAAUCACAAAUUUUAUGUUAUUUUGUUUUUAUACAUACCUACCUACUGUAAUUUUUUAAGCAGAGUUAUUAGAUAUUAAAUUAAAGAUGGGUUAUAAUUUAUAAUUUGAAAAAAUUAUAAUAGGUAUGUAUUAUUGUAUACCUACCCAACUAUAUUCAUUUACAAAGGAAAACAAGUUGUAAAAAAUAAAAAUAGAAUAGUUUCUUAUCCCAUCAUUUCUUUGAAUUGCCAAAUAUUUUACGAUUCCAAAAUGAAAGGUAUUGAUAUAUGUAGGUAGUAACUAGAAUUAUGUAUGCACAUGGUUCUCAGAAACAGUAGAUGAUACCUACCUUGAAAAAAAAGCUGCUGUUAAGUAUCCAAAACAUACUGGGUGUAUCAUGAAAUUCUAAAAAAAUAGAAUAUAGGAAGACUGAUUUUAUAUUCUGAGAAUUUCGUAAUACUCCCCGGAUAUGUUUUAAAUAGGUACCUUCUUACUAAUAUUUUUUUGUGCCAAAUAUAAGUAAUUCUGUAUUA